rnacentral:rRNA from 1 species
UACGAAGGUUGCAAGCGUUACUCGGAAUUACUAGGCGUAAAGGGCAGGUAGGUGGUUUUGUUAGUCUAUUGUGAAAGCUCCCGGCUUAACUGGGAGAGGCCAAUGGAUACUGCCAAGCUUGAGUAUAGGAGAGGUUACUGGAAUUCCCUGUGUAGCGGUGAAAUGCGCAGAUAUCGGGAGGAACACCAAUGGCGAAAGCAGGUAACUGGACUAUUACUGACACUCAACUGCGAAAGCUAGGGGAGCAAACAGG